AAYGACUCUCGACAACGGAUAUCUCRCCUCUCGCAUCGAUGAAGAAUGUAGCRAAAUGCGACACUUGGUGUGAAUUGCAGAAUCYCGUGAACCAUCRAGUCUUUGAAUGCAAGUUGCGYCYGAAGCCAUUAGGCCGAGGGCACGUUUGACUGGGUGUCAYGUAACG
rnacentral:rRNA from 1 species